rnacentral:rRNA from 1 species
CCUACGGGAGGCAGCAGUGGGGAAUCUUAGACAAUGGGGGAAACCCUGAUCUAGCCAUGCCGCGUGAUCGAUGAAGGCCUUAGGGUUGUAAAGAUCUUUCAGAUGGGAGGAUAAUGACGGUACCAUCAGAAGAAGCCCCGGCUAACUCCGUGCCAGCAGCCGCGGUAAUACGGAGGGGGCUAGCGUUAUUCGGAAUUACUGGGCGUAAAGCGCACGUAGGCGGAUCAGAAAGUCAGAGGUGAAAUCCCAGGGCUCAACCUUGGAACUGCCUUUGAAACUCCUGGUCUUGAGGUCGAGAGAGGUGAGUGGAAUUCCGAGUGUAGAGGUGAAAUUCGUAGAUAUUCGGAGGAACACCAGUGGCGAAGGCGGCUCACUGGCUCGAUACUGACGCUGAGGUGCGAAAGCGUGGGGAGCAAAACAGGAUUAGAUACCCUGGUAGUCCACGCCGUAAACGAUGAAUGCCAGUCGUCGGGUAGCAUGCUAUUCGGUGACACACCUAACGGAUUAAGCAUUCCGCCUGGGGAGUACGGCCGCAAGGUUAAAACUUAAAGGAAAUUGAAGGCGUGAGAGUGCGAGACGACACGAGGGAGGAGG